rnacentral:tRNA from 1 species
GGAGAGAUGCCGGAGCGGUCGAACGGGCUCGCCUGGAAAGCGUGUGUACUCCAAAAGGGUACCGAGGGUUCGAAUCCCUCUCUCUCCG